UACGAGGGGGGCAAGCGUUAUCCGGAUUUACUGGGUUUAAAGGGUGUGUAGGCGGGCUUUUAAGUCAGUGGUGAAAUCUCCGGGCUCAACCUGGAAACUGCCAUUGAUACUAUUAGUCUUGAAUUUUGUUGAGGUAGGCGGAAUAAGUCAUGUAGCGGUGAAAUGCAUAGAUAUGACUUAGAACACCUAUUGCGAAGGCAGCUUGCUAAACAAAUAUUGACGCUGAGGCACGAAAGCGUGGGGAUCAAACAGG
rnacentral:rRNA from 1 species